UACGUAGGGUGCAGGCGUUAAUCGGAAUUACUGGGCGUAAAGCGUGCGCAGGCGGUCUUUUAAGUCAGAUGUGAAAUCCCCGGGCUUAACCUGGGAACUGCGUUUGAAACUGGAAGGCUAGAGUGUGGCAGAGGGGGGUGGAAUUCCACGUGGUAGCAGUGAAAUGCGUAGAGAUCGGGAGGAACACCUGUGGCGAAGGCGGCCGACUGGGCCGACCCUGACGGCUGAGGCGCGAAGGCGUGGGGAGCGAACGGG
rnacentral:rRNA from 1 species